GGUUGAAAGAAACGGGGGAGAGAGAGAGGAGUUGAAAACGAGAGGGACUUCUGUCUUGUAAUGGAAUAUGGGUGUGAAGAAGAAACCUUGUGAAAUCUUUGGCUUCUUGUCUCUGGGUUGUUGGAAAUUUAACUUUGUUCUUUUGAACCACUCCCUCACAAUUUUUUUUUCUUUUUCCCCUUCACGAACUUACAAAUUUCUGCAUUGAUUACUACCUCUUAUUUCUUCUCUUAUUUAAUGUUUUUUUCAGCCUUCUGAUUAUCUCUUCCUCUCUCUUCCUUUUUCUCUCUCGUGUAGAAACUGGAAACAUUGUAGACUAGUAAUAGAAAAUUUCAAAUAACAGUAUUUUGGACGAGGAAAACAAUGAAUGGUGAUACAAGCUUUGAAGAUGAUUAUUCUGAGUUCGUGGAAGUUGAUCCUACAGGCAGAUAUGGAAGGUACGAUGAAAUUCUUGGCAAAGGUUCUUCAAAGACAGUCUAUAAAGCCUUUGACGAGUAUGAAGGACUUGAGGUGGCUUGGAAUCAGGUGAAGCUUUAUGAUUUCCUGCAAAAUCCAGAGGAUCUUGAGAGACUUUACCGUGAAAUACAUCUGCUCAAGACCUUGAAACAUGAAAAUAUUAUGAAGUUCUGUACUUCUUGGGUUGAUACUACCAACAGGAAUAUUAACUUUGUCACUGAAAUGUUCACCUCGGGAACUCUCAGACAGUAUAGGUUAAAACAUAAAAGAGUAAAUAUUAGAGCUGUGAAGCAUUGGUGUACGCAGAUUUUGAAUGGGCUUCUGUAUCUCCACACCCAUGAUCCUCUUGUGAUCCACAGAGACCUCAAGUGUGAUAAUAUUUUCAUCAAUGGCAACCAAGGCCAAGUCAAAAUUGGUGAUCUUGGUCUUGCUGCAAUUCUCAGAAAAUCUCAUGCUGCUCGUUGUGUGGGCACACCAGAAUUCAUGGCUCCUGAGGUGUACGAAGAGGAAUACAAUGAAUUAGUUGACAUAUAUUCAUUUGGAAUGUGCAUAUUGGAGAUGGUCACUUUUGAAUAUCCCUACAGUGAAUGCACCCAUCCUGCUCAAAUAUACAAGAAAGUCAUCUCUGGGAAAAAACCAGAAGCUCUGUACAAAGUAAAGGACCCCGAGGUUCGACAAUUUGUUGAGAAAUGCUUAGCGACCGUGUCUUGUAGGUUUUCUGCUAGAGAGCUUUUGAAGGACCAUUUUCUCCAAAUCGAUGAUUAUGGAUUUGAUUUGAGGCCAAUUGAUUAUUAUAAAGACUAUGAAGAACCUGGGCCAUUCCUAAGACAACCUCUUAAUGGAACACAUCAUUGCAACACCUCUUUGUUCGAUGUGUACUCAAAUUACCUUCCUUAUGAUGCUGGAAAUAAUUUAUAUUACGAUCCAGUUGAGCCUCAAAUGAGUGAAAUCGAUCUCUUCACUAGCCAAGAGGACGAGCAGAUGACAAAUGUUGAUGUCACAAUCGAAGGAAAAAGAAGAGAAGAUGAUGGAAUCUUCUUAAGGCUCAGAAUUGCAGAUAAAGAAGGUCGCAUUAGGAACAUUUACUUCCCAUUUGACAUUGAGAAUGACACAGCAUUAAGCGUUGCUACUGAAAUGGUAUCCGAGCUUGACAUCAGUGACCAAGAUGUGAUGAAAAUAGCAGAUAUGAUUGAUGGUGAAAUUGCUUCAUUGGUGCCAGAAUGGAAAAGGAAACAAGAAAUGGAAGAAGAAGGUUUAGACUGCACAAGUCCAAGUUUCUGUCAAAAAUGUGGUUCAAAUGGUUAUCUCAUGGAUUAUGCAUCGCCCAAAAAUCAAGGUGUAAACAACCUCCAGGUUCUUCACUGUUCUAAACAUGGAUGUACAGUUGUUCAUGGGCGUUUCGAGGAGAUCACGUACCAAGUAGAAGGGCUAGAACAAUGUGUUCCAGAAGUUGCAGUGCCUGCAUUAACCCAAGCAGACAGCAUUCAUUAUGCCGACAUCUGGGCUCAGAGAGAUGGACCAGAAUCAAAUUCACCAGGUUCAAGAGACGUUCAUUGUGAUAACGGCAGUGAGAUUCUCAAUCAAUCCAUUGAAAAAGAGGAGAAGAUUAUUGAUAUGGACACUCAAAGCCAAUCCAAUGCUACAAGCUCCUGUGCCAACCCUUCUGUGGAUUCUGCUUUGUUUGAUGAUUAUGAGAAUGAAAUUAGGCAAGAACUAAGAUGGCUCAAAGCAAAGUAUCAAAUGCAGUUGAGGGAGCUUAGGGACCAGCAAUUAGGAACCAUAUCCAAAAUGGGUUUAAAUUUAACCCCAAGUUUUGAUAAUUCAGAUCCCAAGAAAGACGACAAAGCUUCUUUGUCUUCUUUUCUACCCAAGCUAAAGAGAGGAACCAAUGGAGCUGUAACAAGAUCACUGUCCUCCAGAGAGAAUUUCACUUCACACUUUCCUACCGAAGCUGACAAUGCUAAAAACCAAAUUGUCAAGAAUUUUGAGGCAAGUGAUGAAUCAUUCAGCCCUGAAGGAAUGGUUACUGCUAAGAGCUUCUAUACAGGAAGUUUCCUUCCACAGUCUCUUCACAGGGCAACCUCGCUCCCAGUCGACUCGGUAGAGAUGUUAACAGCCAUAAAAUAAGUCCUUAUUGACAAGGGAAAGUGAAGAGACUUUUUUACUGUGUGGCAGACUGGAUAUAAAGUGGACCAAGAAGGCAAGGGAAUUUCAACUUUCAAUGCACCAUCAGGGAUGGGAAUUUUCCUGCGUCUACAACCCAAGUUGCCAACUUGAUAGGGAUAAAAUUUCGUAGCACGAUGUGGAGCUAUACCGGUUGACUUAUAUCAUUAUCUGUGGACAUAUUCGUUAAUGGAUCGAGAAAUCAACAAGUGCGGCUAAAAGUUUUGAAGAAACCCCAUGGAAUCAGUUCAGCCAUUACUUCCAUGCACGACCAGAUGAGAAAACGGAAGAUGCAUGGCACUAAAUAUUAUACGACAAAAUGUUAAUAAUUAUAGGUAUGUGCAAUAUGGAUGAAUGAGGUGCAUGUGAGAUGGAAAAGUUGGGGCAAUACAUACAAUCACACGUAGUCAGAUUCCUUUGUGUGUUUCAUACUGGUGUGCUUUAAGACCACAAAAUAGGAAG